GACGAACGCUGGCGGCGCGCCUAACACAUGCAAGUCGAACGAGAGAUGAAGAGCUUGCUCUUCAAAUCGAGUGGCGAACGGGUGAGUAACGCGUGAGGAACCUGCCUCAAAGAGGGGGACAACAGUUGGAAACGACUGCUAAUACCGCAUAAGCCCACGGCUCGGCAUCGAGCAGAGGGAAAAGGAGCAAUCCGCUUUGAGAUGGCCUCGCGUCCGAUUAGCUAGUUGGUGAGGUAACGGCCCACCAAGGCGACGAUCGGUAGCCGGACUGAGAGGUUGAACGGCCACAUUGGGACUGAGACACGGCCCAGACUCCUACGGGAGGCAGCAGUGGGGAAUAUUGCACAAUGGGGGAAACCCUGAUGCAGCGACGCCGCGUGGAGGAAGAAGGUCUUCGGAUUGUAAACUCCUGUUGUUGAGGAAGAUAAUGACGGUACUCAACAAGGAAGG
rnacentral:rRNA from 1 species